AAAUGGAAGCCCUAAAAAUCACAAACUCAUUUCAUUCCUUCUUCUCUCUCAUGCCGCACUUCGAUCCCUCUUCCUCAAAACCCUAGAUGUACAGAAAGCGAGAAAUCGAGAGGGAAAUUUGUAGUUGAUAUCAAUGGAUUUUGUGAUUUAACAAUUGAUAAUCAGCAUUACCAGUAAAGAAAUUCAUGGAAGACGAAGAAGAAGGAGAAGAAAGUGAUAGAGGUAUUGAAAUGCGUUAUGUACCAUUUUUUCGUAUCAAUUCUUCAACGGAUCAUUAUGUUGCUGCUACUGUUGGAUCUCCAAAUGUUAUGUCUCAGAAGGGUUUUUACUAAGAUUGAUCUCUCUUCCUCCAUCUCACAACACUUUAAUCCCUAAUAAAGUGAUCUCUCUUCCUCUAUCUCGAAGAUUAAAGUUAAUGGGAUUUUUCAGAAACUUGUCAAAUGUGCAACAUGGAGGGAUAUUAUCUCAUGGAAAGCUUAAGCGAUUGCGUAGAUCGGUACUUCAUCUAAUUAGCCUACAUGGAGCCGAUCCAACUAUAUAGAACUCGGGGAAUUGUAAGUGUUCACCUCAUUUUUCGGGUACCUGAGUCUAGGUACUAACUUCAAGUUAUAACCUAUUUGUGUAGGUAUAAAACAUUUUUCGAUGGAUGUUGUUUGUUAAUUGUAGGCAUUUAAGGGCUUUUUACCGAUUGAGCACAAAACUUGUCAAUUAAUCUUAUCAUAUUGUAAUAUAUUCUAACUCCUUCCUUAAUAUAUAUCUGUUUAUCUA